rnacentral:lncRNA from 1 species
CCCCCCAAUUCCUUGUGUUCGUGUUCAAAACUACUUGAACAUAUAGGAAAAGCUCUUAAGAAUUUGACGAGGUAGAUAAAGCACUUGCUGUGUGUGGAGGUAUGAGGACCAGAUCGGAUCCCCAGCACUCAAGUAAAAGCCAGACAGACAUGAUGGCCACCUAUAAUUCAUAAUUCUAGCACUUGGCAGGAAGAGCCUGGAGAUCCUUUGGACAAGCUAGCUAGUUAGACACCAGUUCAACUUCACACACACACACACACACACACACACAAACACACACACACACACACACACACCAGCAGCCAUAAUACUUGAUAGCUCAACAGAAUACUGUCAUGGAUAAUGCCCAUUUUAAUUGCACAUUGUAUGUUUUACUCCAAGGGAUAAAUUUAAUUCUUUGAGUUUUGCUGUUAUUUGAGGGUUUUAAGAGUUUGAGGGGCCAAACAUAAGAAGGAAGGGCUGAAGAUCUUCCCUAUCUUUGCACCAACUUCUCUGCCUAGCUACGUAUUCAGCUAGGGCACAAGAGCCAUCCUUGAGUACAACUAUGUCUCUAAGAUGGGACUUUUGUUCAUUGGUUUGACUGGGCCAUUAGGUACCCAAAUAUUUGUUGGAACAUUCUGGAAGUAUCUAUAAAUAUAUUUGGGGCUGACUUUAAUAUUUUAAUCUAUAAGUUAAAUAAGACAGAAUGCCCUCCCUAAUGUGGGUAAAAAGGUUUAAUAGAAUUAGAUAAUUGGUGUUCUCCCAUAUCUAUAAGAGGUAACUUCCCUUGUCCAACUGUCUUCUGGGUUGGACACUGUUUCUAUCUUGCUUUUCGCUUAGAACUAUGCCAUUGGUCUAAUGUCUACAAAGCGCUUGUCUAAGGACUUAUCAGCCUCCAUAAUCAUGAGCAAAUUCCCUAUAGUAACUCAUGUCCAAAUGGCCAAAGGAAGUCUGUGACCAAUUCAGAGUCAGUGAUGGAAAAGUCCAUAAUGCACUUAGGUACCAUUGCCAGAAGCCUGGAUUAUCAAGACUCCAGCAUAUCCACUGCCAAUGUGGGAACUCCAAGUAUCAGCAGAAUUCUCAGUAAUUGGCACUUGCCUGGCACCUAUAGUACAAACUUCAAAUCUGGAUGAUCAAACUCCCCCAGGACAAUUCUGGAAUUUGUGAAUAGUUUGCGUGUUCUAGUAAAAUAUAUGUACAUUUUUUAAUCUUUUAAAAAUUCAUUUGUUCUCUCUCUCUCUCUCUCUCUCUCUCUGUGUGUGUGUGUGUGUGUGUGUGUAUGUGUAUGCACACACAUGUGUUGGCAUGUAUACCACAGGUGUGGGCAUGGAGGUCAGAAUUAGGGAGUGAGCUCUCAAGAAGGGUCUCUGUUAUUUUUCUUGCUGUGCUUAGUACUACAGGGUAGACUGCCUGGCAGCUCACAACUGUGUGAGAGUCUCCAUUCUCUGCCUCCUGUCCCACCUAGGAGUGUGGAGAUUACAGCUGCCUGCUACUGUAUCUAGCUCUCUUAGGUAGGUCUUGAGGAUUAAACUCAAGUCAUCAACCUUGUUGUGGCGAGUAAUUUUACCCACUGAGCUAUCUUGAUAGCGCUGUUUUUGUUUUUUUGAUUGUUGGUUGGGCUUUUUGUUUUGAGAUAGGAUCUAGCUAGGUAACCUAGGCUGGCCUUGAGCUCACUUUAUAGCCCAGGCUGUCCUCCACCUAAGUGAUUACCCUGCUUCAGGCUCUCAGGUACUGGAAUUUUGUGGUGAUAUAUUAUUUAUGAUUUAUUAAAUCUUGCCUGAGGAUUCAGAAAGCAAAGCCAGCCUCGAGCUAUUGAGAUCAGGCAGUGGUGACACACACCUUUAAGCCCAGCAGCCAGAAGUUAGGAGGUGGUGGUACACACCUUUAAUCCUAGGACUCAGGGCUAAGAGGUAGAUGGAUCUCUGUGAAUCCAAGGCCACCCAGAUCUAUAUUGAUUCAGUCCUAAAGAGAAACAGCUCACACAAAGAUGAGCUCAGCACCUGGGAUCACACACCUUUAAUCCCAGCAUUAGGGAGGUAUAUAAGAUAGGAGCAGGGUCUUCAACAUUCAGUAUGAGGCAUUCAUUCUCCAGCCACAUGGCAGAUAGGAAGACAUUGAGGUCCCAGGAUUCUCCAGCCGCACUGAGGAGAGGGUUCAGUCUGAGGUUUGGUAGAACUCUUGGAUGGGCCAUUUCACUCUGAGGUAGAGUGAGAGCUAGUGCCCAGCUGCUUUGCUUUUCUGAUACUCAGCUUGAAGCCUGAAUCCCCAUAUCAGUCUCUGGAUCUCUUAUUUAUUGAGCAACAGAAUUACAAGCAUGAGCCAUCAUGCCUAGCACCAUGCAUGUGUGAAAUGUAUGGUUUUAUGAUAUACUACAUAGUUUGUAAUAUAUGGUACAUUGGGCAUCAUGUAGAUCUUUAAAAAUACGUGUAUAGGAGGUAAUGUUACACACGAUUUCUCUUUCAUUUAAAGUUACAUAACACUAUGCAUGGUGGCGCAAGCCAGUAAUUUCAGUACUUAGGAGCUAGAGGCCAAAGAAUUAGAAGUGCCAAGUCAUUCUAACUACACAUAGUUCAAGGCCAGCCUGGGUUACAUUAGAAUUUGUCUCAAAAAACUAGUGACUCAAUAGUUGUACAACCAGGCGAUAUUUCAGAUGAUGUUUAUGAAAUUUAGUUAACUUGAGUGUUGCAAGGAUGAGCCUUCAGUUAUUUGUCCUGACGAGAUAGAUAAACUUACAUAUGUAAUUCAUUUGACGAAGUCUGGCUCUGUAAGCCCAGGCUGGCCUUCAACUUGUGGCAAUCCUCUUGCCUCAACCAAAGUGCUGAGAUUAGGGGUGUGAUACACCGCGCCCGACUUGAAAUUAUUUUUCGUUUUAUCUGUAUGCUGUGAGUAUGGGACAAACAGCCUGAGGAGUUUGAUGCUUCGGGGACUAGUAAGAAAAAAAAAAAUCAUGAACUUCUAGUUACUUGAACAGACACCACCCUCCUCUUGGUCCCCAAAUUUGCCUCUUUACAAAGGCUAAUUUGCCUCUGCCUUAUGUAUGAUUUUAUCUUACAGCAUACACAGUAUUCGUUUGCAGCUUGCAGAGUAGAACAGAUGAUGCAGUUACUGAGACCUUCAACUGGAAGCUCUAAAACUGAGCAGAGACAUACAGUAGGGCACUCACAACUCUGAUUGGCAGUUGAAGUGGCAGUUGAUGUGGAGUCGUGCUGCCAUGAGGUACUCUUAUCUGUCCGCAGGCCACACCUCUGGGCCGAGGAGGCAGCUCUGAACAGAUGGAAAGAGCCCCGAGCCACAACGGGUGCACUGCCCCUCCCGCCGGGACCGGUCCCUGCGGGAGCUGAAACAUGAUUCCCGGACGCUGAGUGCGCACUGUUUGGUCCAAGAGAGACUCACGGAGGGUGAGGGUAUGCUUGGCACCCGAGUGCUCAAAGGAACCAAAUGGCUGUUGGUUCCGGUCAGUGGCGGAACUGGGCCCCAGUGGCCAGGUCCAAGCUGGCGGCGGGGGAGGGGCUGGGCAGGAUUUCCCGCCUCCCGCAGUGGCUGCUCCAGCUGCGACUUCAAAGGAGGCCCGGGAGCUGGAGCGGGCUGGGGGCGUCGCCAGAGCCUGCCUGGCGAUGAACCUCCUCGGGAAGACCGUGCUGAAACGCCGCUGCGAGCAUCACCCGCCACGUUUACAGUAGGGAAGGCUUUCCUCCGAAAAGCAGGAGCGGAGUUGAUUGCAAUUUAGCUCCUCUCUGUGAGAGUCACAGAAAGGAGAGGCUCCGCCGGUGCACCCGGAGUCCCAGGCGAGCUCGGGCAGGACCCCUGUCGCUGCGCCCGGCGAGGCAUGCCGGGCCACGGAAACCAUUUCUUUUCAGGAGCGGGGAUGGCCUUUGGGACUCCUUUGGUCAUGCGCCUUGUGUCGCUGCCGCCUCCGGAGCGGAGAGCGCAGCUGGCGGAGAAAACGCAUUCUUGCUCCUUCCCGCCCGAGGGAGAUGGCCAGGGCGCGGGCACCCGUGACCUCCCGAGUGAGGUUACCAGAUCCCAAGCCGGGAAUCUCGGCUUACGCCCUGCCAUUGGGGGUUUCCGACAAGCAAUCAGAGGGCAGAGGUUGGUUACCCUAAACUUUGACAUACGGGGGAAAAUGCCCAGAAUUCACCAACACGCCCUGUUUCGCACUGGUCCUUUGAACAGCUUCCUAGAGAAGGUGAAGUGUUGGGGGGUUAACUGGUUCGGAGACCAGGAAGAGACAGUUGGAUUCCCCCCCCUCCACCCCCCGUUUUCCCACGUUGCUGAAGGCUCAGGCAGGCUCAGCGCUGCCACCUGGCGGCUGCUUCUCCCGGAUUGGGAGGCGCCGUCUGCACUCAGCAGCGCCACAGUUCUAGGUGGGUGUGCCAGGCCUGUCUGGGGAAACAGAG